rnacentral:rRNA from 1 species
UACAGAGGUCUCAAGCGUUGUUCGGAUUCAUUGGGCGUAAAGGGUGCGUAGGCGGUUUGUCGCGUCGGGAGUGAAAACACGGGGCUUAACCCCGUGCCUGCUUCCGAUACGGGCAGACUAGAGGCAUGCAGGGGAGAACGGAAUUCCUGGUGUAGCGGUGAAAUGCGCAGAUAUCAGGAGGAACACCGGUGGCGAAGGCGGUUCUCUGGGCCUUACCUGACGCUGAGGAGCGAAAGCGUGGGGAGCGAACAGG